CCCUUAGAUCAGCACAGUUGCUUCCUCCUCUUUGCUUCCUUAGUUUGUGAGCACCCGGGACUUGGGUUGGCAUCUGUGCAUGCCUGCAGGAAUUGAUGCCCUGACUGUGGUCCUGUGCCCCUGCUAUGUUGUAACCCUUAUUGUAUGAUAAAUGACUAAACCAACCAGCAGGUUUUGAGAAUUCCAAGGAAGUGGGUGCAGUUGAGAAACUGAGAAAGGGAUGACUGUGCCUGUGAUAUAUAAAUGAGCUUCCAUGUAGAUAUGAGCACUAGACUGAGAUGGACAUUUUCAGGCUUUACUUAGUUUUCCAGUGACUAAUACCACACAGUGAUAGUGCAUGAAAUUAGCUUAGUUGGUCAAUAUCUGCAUUUGAAAAAAUGAAAUAGAAAAGGAAAUAGGUCAGAGUAUAUCACACAUAAUAAGACUGCUUCGUGAAAUUUUUGUUACAUAGAUGAGGUAUGUGUGUGUACUGGGUAGAGAUCUAAAUUGUGUUUCUUCAUAUGGGUUGACAUUAAACAUUUUUUGGAAAACACUCCCUGAGGAAGUGUCUGUUUGAAAUUAGGAGAAGUUUUAUUGGGAGGAACAAUUGGGAGGGAGGUUUGGGAGAGGAAACGUCAGUUGAACAAAACAGUAUUUUGACAUGGAGUGACCAAGGCAGUGAUUUCCAGAGUUAUUAAUUUGUGCAAGCUAAACUGCAACUAGACAUUAGUCCCAUUGGGUCGUAAGCUUAUAGAUUACACCUUCUUCAUUUUUUUCUAUUUUAUUUUUCCCUUUCUUUAGUUUUUAGUGAAGGAUGUUUUGACAAUUUAUCCUGUCGUAUAUACUUAAAGAAAAAUUUAACUAUGCCAGUCUAAAAGGGCUAGGUGUAUACCCAGAUCAAGAUAAGUUGGUGUCAAUGAGGAUGAAAAUGUGAGAACGCAAUGGAGAAGAGCAGUCCAUAGGAAGGAACAGUGGAGCUCAGUUUUUCUCGCCACUCUCUUCUCCCACCAUUCGGGGUCUCCACCAUCGUCCCACCGUAACCUUCCAACCACACGCCCCCCAGCAUGCCUUUUUGGGAUGUGCUGACCACUUCAUUCUUUGAAACCAUUAUUCCAGUGUCCUUGCUAUUGACAGGUGAAUCCCUGAAAAAAAUGAUAUAAGACCGUACCAUUUAAAAUUUGAUGGAAAGAUCAAUACAAAUUAUCCUCACAACAAGAACUGCCAUUCAAAACUUUUAAAGCGACCACUAGAAAGAUGGCGGAGCAAGAGCAGAGAAAAAUCCCUUUGGUUCCAGAAAAUCUGCUGCAAAAGAGGAAGGCUUGUCAAGCCCUCCAAGCCACCGAGGCCAAACAGGCAAAGAAGAAGCAGAGGAAAGGAAAAAGGCUCAGGUUUAAGGGACUGGAAUCAUUCUUCCGUGAUUCCUGGUGGCAGAAACGUGACAAGGUGCAUCUCAGACGACUAGAAGUGAAACCUCACACCUUGGAAUUGCCAGAUAACGUUCCCUGGCCUUUGUUGUACGCAUCGAAAGGAUUGAUGGCGUGAGUUUACUGGUGCAGAGAACCAUUGCAAGACUUCGCCUAAAGAAAAUUUUUAGUGGUGUCUUUGUAAAAGUCACCCCCUAGAACCUAAAAAUGCUGCGUAUAGUGGAACCUUAUGUGACCCGGGGAUUUCCAGAUCUGAAGUCUGUCCGAGAACUCAUUUUGAAACGUGGACAAGCCAACGUCAAGAAUAAGACCAUCCCUCUAACAGACAACACAGUGAUUGAGGAGCACCUGGGGAAGUUUGGCUUCAUUUGCUUGGAAGACCUCAUUCAUGAAAUUGCCUUCCCAGGGAAGCAUUUCCAGGAGAUCUCAUGGUUCUUGCGCCCUUUCCACCUCUCAGUGGCCCGUCAUGCUACCAAAAAUAGAAUGGGCUUCCUCAAGGAGAUGGGCACACCUGGCUAUCGGGGUGAACGCAUCAAUCAGCUCAUCCGUCAGCUGAACUAGACCCAGGUGUCAAACUGUGGUAAAUUUUUAUCAAUGAAGUGGAAGCAUGUGUUUAAUUGUUUUGGGAAUUUUUAUCAAGUAUCUUCAGAGAAGAUUAUUUCCUGCUUUAUCUUCAAAAACCGGAAAGGAAGGGUCAAAGAAAAGACAAUAGCUGGCCAGGCGUGAUGGCUCACGCCUGUAAUCCCAACACUUGGGAGGCUGAGGUGGGCGGAUCACCUGAGGUUGGGGGUUCGAGACCAGCACGACCAACAUGGAGAAAUGCCGUCUCUACUAAAAAUACAGAAAUUAGCCGGGCAUAGUGGCAUAUGCCUGUAAUCCCAGCUACUCAGGAGGCUGAGGCAGGAGAAUUGCCAGGUGGAGGUUGCAGUGAGCUGAGAUCAUGCCAUUGCACUCCACCCUGGGCAACAAGUGAAACUCCAUCUCAAAGAAAAGAAAAGACAGUAGCUUAUGUUCAUGGCAAGCACCUCUCAUCACAGUCCAGUUCCAAGGAAAAAUUCCAGUGUUUUCUGCAUUGGGUGCUGCAUCGUCUGAAAUCAGCACAUUCUGUGGAGGAAGGAGUCCUGCUUUGUUGCAUCUAUCUUAGGGUUUAAUGUUGGUAAAUGAGUCACUCUAGCAUUUGUACAAGGCUCCCUAAGACUCCUGCAGCAGUUGACCAAGCCCAGGGACAUAAGUGAAUCUGGAGAGUCCUAGGACCUUGUUUUGAAAAACACUGAAAAUACACAUAGGAAGAAAGGCAUACAAAUAAAUGUUCACUUGUCUCUGC